rnacentral:tRNA from 1 species
GCGGCGGUGGUCCAGCCUGGUAAGACACGAGCCUUCCAAGCUCAUAACCCGGGUUCAAAUCCCGGCCGCCGCA